GAUGAACGCUGACAGAAUGCUUAACACAGACUCACUGCUUGGGUGGCGGACGGGCGAGUAACGCGUAAAGACCUUGCCUCACCGCUAGGGACAACAUUUGGAAACGGAUGCUAAUACCUAAUACUGUGAGCCAGCUUUGCGUCCCAUUAGCUAGUUGGAGAGGUAACGGCUCACCAAGGCGAUGAUGGGUAGCCGGCCUGAGAGGGUGAUCGUCCAGAAGGGGACUGAGACACGGACCUUACUCCUACGGGAGGCAGCAGUGGGGAAUAUUGGACAAUGGACCAAAGUCUGAUCCAGCAAUUCUGUGUGCACGAUGAAGUUUUCGGAAUGUAAAGUGCUUUCAGUUGGGAAGCGGUACCAACAGAAGAAGUGACGACUGAAUACGUGCCAGCAGCCGCGGUAAUUC
rnacentral:rRNA from 1 species